rnacentral:rRNA from 1 species
CCUACGGGUGACAGCAGUGAGGAAUAUUGCACAAUGGGCGCGAGCCUGAUGCAGCAACGCCGCGUGAGCGAAGAAGGUCUUCUGGUCGUAAAGCUCUUUCCUUGAGGAAGAAAGAAGUGACGGUACUCAAGGAGGAAGCCCCGGCAAACUACGUGCCAGCAGCCGCUGUAAUACGGAGGGGGCAAGCGUUAUCCGGAAUUAUUGGGUGUAAAGAGUACGCAGGUGGUUUUGUAAGCGCGGGGUGAAAGGGAGGGGCUUAACCAGUGUAAGCCUUGCGAACUGCAAGACUUGAGUGCAGGAGAGGAAUGCGGAAUGCGUAGUGUAGCGGUGAAAUGCUUAGAUAUUAGGAGGAACACCAGUGGCGAAGGCGGCUUUCUGGACUGUAACUGACACUGAGGUACGAAAGCGUGGGGAGCAAACAGGAUUAGAUACCCCAGUAGUC